AACUAUUUAGGAUUAAUGAAAUCUCUACAGCCUUAUCUAUGAAAUUUAAAUUGUUAAAGUAAGUAGUUGGAAUGUGUUCGGAUAACUCUAUAUCACGCCCUUCCCAAAAUUUUGUGAAUUCUUAUAAUGUGAAAGAUUACAAUUUCAAAGUCAAGUGAUUACACCUAAGAGCACCCUAUUCUUUAAACGAAGUGAGGUCUCAACAAAAGAUCUAAUUACAUAAUCUGUUGAUCAAAGGUAGCAUCCUCUUCAAGAUAUUCUCUUUAAACCGUUCAAGGCAGCCUGUCGUUUUGCCACUACUCAUUCUCUAGAAAUAGGACUUACAAUUUCUCGGCAAAAUUUGAAACAGUGGAAAUAACCAGCCUAUAAAUUAAUCUUUUUCCUCGCCAUAUGACGACAUACACCACCAUCACAAACACUCAGCUAACUACUCUACCUCUGCUGGAUUUAUUCUUAGCCCUAAAGUAUGUCCGUUAGAAUUUGUUUUGUCAUUUUCCAAUAUUUAUAUGUAUCCCAACCAGGCCAAUAUUCUUCUCCACACAUGCCAUGUAACAUAAUAGAAAAAAAAAAGGAAGAAAGAACGGAUGAUCAAAAGAUUCAGUACCUAUGCCGCAGAAUACACAAUCAAGUUGUACAUUUAUCCAAAAUCUCUGAAGUCUCUCCAUUGUAGCUAGUCUCUUGCAUUAUCACCAACCAAACAUUUAAGUGGUACAUUCAUUUUGUAAUCUUUAACAUAAACUUCUUGGAGUUAUAAAAAUAAAGUAUAUAAAAUUUUAAAUAGUUUUGAUAAGACAUCAUAACUGGAAACUCCAACUUUUAGCUAUAAAUUCCAAACCUCAUCUAGAACACUUCAAGUUGUUCAUUAAUUUCAUCAAGUGUGGUGGAAGCUGUGACAUAAAAUAUUAUUAUAAUGUAACAACACUUUAUUAUUUGUGACACUCCAAAAUGUUUAAUAACUAUAAUAAUUCAUGAGGUAUUAUCCCAAAGAGGUUGAUUUUCCAAGCACGAGUCCUAAAGGACAAAUUCAUGAUCAUUAUCCUAAAAUGGCAAACAUAUGAACUUGAGUCUAAAAUGGCUAAAUCAGGCUAAAUCAUAAGCAUGAGCUUAACAAGGCUAACAUUCUUAUCAAUUAUCAAGAACUAAUAAAUAAGAUAACGUUAUGAGCAUAAGGGAGUUAAUUAGCUGACUGUGAAGGCAUAGGUUCAAAUGACAAAUGUCCGAAACUAUGUUUGCCGACAUAGGAUAGAGAUUAUUCCGCAAAUCGGAUGACUCUUUUUUUAUGUCUCCCGAAAAGGAGAUAACCAUGGAUACUUGCUAGCAAAUUAUGUCAUGUUAUGUUCUGCGCCCGACAAGGUAUGGGUUGGCUUAGCUGAUCGGGACGAGAUCAGAUUCCAUGCGCUCACAUGGUGGUUUAUGACGGUUCACUACUUUCUCUCAGAAAUAAUCAAAGGAAUUUAAAUCUUACCUUACUUGGUCAAUUAUAAAUUUUCCUUACAUUCUUGUUCAUUUCUAGAUGCCUUCGCUUAUAUUUGAAUUUUAUUGUUACUUCUAAUCUUUCGUUUUACUACCCUUCUGCAAUGGUUUUACAUACCAAUACAUUUUACGUAUUGACCAUUUUUUGGUGCUACAUCAUUUCAUGAUGUAGGUUCUGGCUCUCAAGUCCGCGUUCAUGUGCCUCAUUAGGAUUCCUAACUUUUGCUAUUGGUGAGCCUCUUUCCUACCUGGAGGCUGGAUGAGAUAUGAUGACUUUUUUUGUAUUUUCUUUUCUUUAAGUAUUAGUACUUAUUAGAGGCUUCAAAAGAUGGUGUAGUUGUCAAAAAAACUUUUUAAUUUCUAGUCUUUAUCAUGACUAUUAGUAUUGUAUAAAAUUAAGAGGUGUUAAUAAACAUUGAUGAUAAUAUUCCUUUAAGAAAUCUUAUUUCAAUCUCAUAUUGUUUCAGUUAUACUCUUUCGUGUUGGUUGUAUUCUCAUGUUUUAUGAUAGAACAUUCGCUCGUACUAACAAUAGUAUCGGGUGAAUGUCAUGUCUCGGGCCUCGGCUCGGGGCGUGACAAUAUUUGACCAAUAGAAUUGAUAGAGAGUUAUAUUUAUUGUGUUUUUUUUUUUGUGGUUCAGGUCCAAUCAAACAGAUUAGAUUAAGAUGUGUUUUAUUUUUAAAAAAUUAGUCAUUUAACAUAUUGGAUUUUUUUGUUAAAAGAAUAGUACAUGCGAAAAGUUUGUUAAUAACGAGUGUAAAUUUGACCUCAAAUUAUGAAAUCAAGAGAUUUAAACCUAAAGUAUGACGAAAUAUAUAUUUAGUCAAUUUUUCCAAGUAGAUGAGUAAAUUUGUCUACAAAAUAUCACAGCAAAAACAAAUUUUUAUGCUAAAGAAUAUAUUUGACCAAUUUUUCAAAAUCAAAAGGUAAAUUUGAUCCUUUUAUCUAAAAAAAAGGAACAUAACAUAUAAUUUAUAAACAAAUCCUUUAAUUUUGUCUCAACUCACAUCUACACCCUUCAAUUUUGGGUGUACAUAAAUAAACAUUUAAACUUGUAUAAUAUAAAUAAAUAAACAUUUAUUUUUGUGAGCCGCCGACGCUUGCUGCUAAAAUUUACGAUUUUGCUAAUGGUGGUUUAUUCUUUCCUUUAGGGGUCAUUUGGUUGAAAAAUAAGUUAUCACAGGAUUAUUAAUCUUGGGAUUAGCUAUUUUGAGAUUAGUUAUCCCAAUUUUAAGUAGGAAAAAGAAAAACACUGCAAUCCCGAAAUAAUUAAUUUCAGAAUGAGUUAUCCCAUGUAUUUUGUCCCAACCAAAUAUGGAAUAGACUCUUCUUUUAAAUUAAUCCCGAAAUUAAUUAUCCUUAUCCUUCCUACCAAAUGCCCCUUAGGAUUUUAGGUCCUUGCGUAGUGCCUCCACCCCACAGCAAAAAGAAAUGGACCAAACAAUUUUCUUCCUUCUUUCUUCUUUUUCUUUUGAUUUUUAUAUUUCUCAUAUUUCAAGCUUUUUCUAUUUUUUUUUAAUAUAAAAAAAGGGCAUAUUGAGGGCUCAUUUGGUACAAGCAAUAAGGAAUAACUAAUUUCGAGAGAAUAAGCUUAUCACAUGUUUGAUUGAGAUAAAAUGUAUGGGAUAACUUAUCCCAAUUUAGUUAACUUGGGAUUGUAGUGUUAUUGUUAUUCACCUUGAUGGUAGUAACUUUCCUUUGAUAAUUAAUCCCUGAAAAACUUAUUUCCCAAUCAAAUGACCCCGAAGUAGAUUUGUUUAUUUGACAUGCCUCACGGUUUAUGUGUUUAUUUUUACAUGCAAUAACAAAAAGUUCACCAAGAAUAUGAAAGAACUGGUGGAAUCUAUCGUCUAAAGUUGCCACUAAGUUUAGCUUACCAUCUAACUAGGCCUUGUUUAUUCUCAUGUAGGGCCUCGCUGGGUCAUUUUGAUAUUUUUUGUUAAUUUAGUACAUUGUCUGUGAAAAAUAAAACUUCUUCGUCUUCUCUCUUUAUCCCUAUCACCUACUCCACCAUGAAAAUCUUGAUGGAAAACCUUGCAAAACAUAGAACAACAAAGUUUUAAAAAUCAUCAUACUGAUUUUGAAAUUUUCUACAAGAACAUAAAAGAACAAGCGCACAAAAAAUUGAAACAAAAAUGAAGGAAAAUCCUUAUAAUCUCAGUUAGAACGUUGCAAGAAAAUUACUAUCGGCAAAAUAGUCCUCCAAACCUAAUCUAUAGCAAAAAAUAACAUAAUUAAAAUCUCAUAAAAACCAACCACAAAAAAGUGGAAAAAUAACAAAGAGAUGUGGAUCGUUCAGAAGGGACAAUGCCGCCAAGAAGAAAGGUGGAAUGGGGAAAGGUGGUUCAAAAGGAAUAACGUCGCCAGGAAAGAUAAGUUGGAUAGAGUGUAGAACUGUAACACCGCAAAAAUCUCUAAGAUCCUAUGUCAGACUUAGAAGAAGCCAACAAAAAGUCAGCUUUAAUCUCAAGACGACACUACUAAAAAAAUGAAAAAAUCGACCACCAAAAACCGCUCACAAAAUGUGGUCAGAAAAAACCGACCACAAGUGGUUGGUUUUUUAUUUUUUAUUUUUUAAAAAAUUUUAUUAAAAAAAGCGACCACAUGUGGUCGGUUUUUAUUAUAAAAUAUCAAAAUAAAUAUUCCAAUAAUUUUUAUUUUAAUUAUUAUAUCUUUUAAAAAUUAAAAUUUAAAAAAAUAACAAAACCAACCAUAAGUGGUCGGUUGGUUUAAAAAAAA
rnacentral:lncRNA from 1 species